GACGAACGCUGGCGGCGUGCUUAACACAUGCAAGUCGAACGGUGACCCAGGGCUUGCCCUGGUGAUCAGUGGCGAACGGGUGAGUAACACGUGGGCAACCUGCCCCCUGACUUCGGGAUAACUCCUCGAAAGAGGAGCUAAUACCGGAUACGACCACUUCGGACAUCCGAUGGUGGUGGAAAGUUUUUCGGUCAGGGAUGGGCCCGCGGCCUAUCAGCUAGUUGGUGGGGUAAUGGCCUACCAAGGCGACGACGGGUAGCCGGCCUGAGAGGGCGACCGGCCACACUGGGACCGAGACACGGCCCAGACUCCUACGGGAGGCAGCAGUGGGGAAUAUUGCGCAAUGGGCGAAAGCCUGACGCAGCGACGCCGCGUGAGGGAUGAAGGCCUUCGGGUU
rnacentral:rRNA from 1 species